AGUAACACGUAAGUAACCUGCCCAGAAGUGGGGAAUAACCCACCGAAAGGUGAGCUAAUACCGCAUGUGAUGGUCCUUCCCUGGAGGGGUCAUUAAAGGCUUAGGUCGCUUCUGGAGGGGCUUGCGGCCGAUUAGCUAGUUGGUGGGGUAAUGGCCUACCAAGGCAACGAUCGGUAGCUGGUCUGAGAGGAUGGUCAGCCACACGGGGACUGAGAUACGGCCCCGACUCCUACGGGAGGCAGCAGCUAGGAAUAUUGGGAAUGGGCGAAAGCCUGACCCAGCAACGCCGCGUGAGCGAUGAAGGCNUUAGGGUUGUAAAGCUCUUUUGCGAGGGACGAUGAUGACGGUACCUCGCGAAUAAGCCACGGCUAA
rnacentral:rRNA from 1 species